UUUCCUACGGGGGGCAGCAGUGGGGAAUAUUGGGCAAUGGGCGCAAGCCUGACCCAGCAACGCCGCGUGAAGGAAGAAGGCUUUCGGGUUGUAAACUUCUUUUCUGAGGGACGAAGAAAGUGACGGUACCUCAGGGAUAAGCCACGGCUAACUACGUGCCAGCAGCCGCGGUAAUACGUAGGGGGCGAGCGUUAUCCGGAAUGAUUGGGCGUAAAGGGUGCGUAGGCGGCCUGCUAAGUCUGGAGUGAAAGGUACGGGCCCAACGGGU
rnacentral:rRNA from 1 species